rnacentral:rRNA from 1 species
UCCAGUUGAUCCUGCUGGAGGGUACCGCUAUGGGGGUUCGAUUAAGCCAUGCAUGUCUCAGGAGCCGGCAAGGCUCCUGGCGAACAGCUCAGUAACACGUGGACAACCUACCCUUACGAGACGGAUAACCUCGGGAAACUGAGGACAAUACGCCGUAGGCUCCCAGACCUGGAAUGGCGGGAGUUCAUAGGGGCCCACCUGUUGCUGGUGCGUCUGCGUAAGGAAGGGUCUGCGGUGGAUUAGGUAGAUGGUGGGGUAACUGCCCACCAUGCCUGUGAUCCGUACCGGCCUUGAGAGAGGGUGCCGGGAGAUGGAUACUGAGACAAAGAUCCAGGUCCUACGGGACGCAGCAGGCGCGAAACCUUCGCAAUGCGCGAAAGCGUGACGAGGGAACCCCAAGUGCCAGCCCACACGGUUGGCUUUUGUGAAGUCUAAAACGCUUCACGAAUAAAGACUGGGCAAGACUGGUGCCAGCCUCCGCGGUAACACCAGCAGUUUAAGUGGUACCCGGUUUUAUUGGGCUUAAAGCGUCCGUAGUCGGAUACGUCAGUCCCCUGUGAAAUCCUGCGGCUCAACCGUAGGACUGGCGGGGGAUACUGCGUGUCUUGAGGCCGGGAGAGGCAGGGGGUAUUUCUGGGGUAGUGGUGAAAUGCUGUAAUCCCAGGAAGACCACCGGUAGCGAAGGCGCCCUGCUGGAACGGGCCUGACGAUGAGGGACGAAAGCUAGGGGAGCGAAUCGGAUUAGAUACCCGAGUAGUCCUAGCCGUAAACGAUGCGGGCUGAGUGUUACGCGACCCUCGGGGUCGCGUAGUGCUGAAGGGAAACCGUUAAGCUCGCCGCCUGGGGAGUACGGUCGCAAGGCUGAAACUUAAAGGAAUUGGCGGGGGAACACCACAAGGAGUGGAUGCUGCGGUUUAAUUGGAUACAACGCCGGGCAACUCACCAGGGGCGACAGCAGAGUGAUAGCCAAGCUGAUGACUUUGCUUGACGCGCUGAGAGGUAGUGCAUGGCCGUCGUCAGCUCGUACCGUGAGGCGUACGGUUAAGUCCGUUAACGAGCGAGACCCGUGCCCGUAUUUGCCAACCAUUCCUCCGGGAGUGGGGCACUAUACGGGGACCGCUGGUGAUGAACCAGAGGAAGGUGCGGUCGACGGUAGGUCAGUAUGCUCCGAAUCUCCUGGGCUACACGCGGCAUACAUUGGCGCGGACAAUGGGUUGCGACACCGAAAGGUGAAGCUAAUCCCCUAAAACGCGUCCUGGUUCAGAUCGAGGGUUGCAACUCACCCUCGUGAAGCUGAAAUCCCUAGUAGUCGCUGGUCACCAUCCAGCGGCGAAUACGUCCCUGUUCCUUGCACACACCGCCCGUCACACCAACUGAGUGGAUUUGGGGCGAGGCGCCUUCUUUGGGAGGUGUCGAGUCCGGGGUCCGCAAGGGGGGUGAAGUCGUAACAAGGUA